GUCCAUGCCGUAAACGAUGUCUACUAGCCGUUGGGGCCUUUGAGGCUUUAGUGGCGCAGCUAACGCGAUAAGUAGACCGCCUGGGGAGUAUGGUCGCAAGACUAAAAACUCAAAAUGAAUUGACGGGGGCCCGCACAAGCGGUGGAGCAUGUGGUUUAAUUCGAUGCAACGCGAAGAACCUUACCUGGUCUUGACAUAGUAAGAACUUUCCAGAGAUGGAUUGGUGCCUUCGGGAACUUACAUACAGGUGCUGCAUGGCUGUCGU
rnacentral:rRNA from 1 species